CUCUUGACAUCCAGAGAACUUGGCAGAGAUGCCUCGGUGCCUUCGGGAACUCUGAGACAGGUGCUGCAUGGCUGUCGUCAGCUCGUGUUGUGAAAUGUUCGGGUUAAGUCCCGCAACGAGCGCAACCCCUAUCCUUUGUUGCCAGCGAUUCGGUCGGGAACUCAAAGGAGACUGCCGGUGAUAAACCGGAGGAAGGUGGGGAUGACGUCAAGUCAUCAUGGCCCUUACGAGUAGGGCUACACACGUGCUACAAUGGCGUAUACAAAGAGAAGCGACCUCGCGAGAGCAAGCGGACCUCAUAAAGUACGUCGUAGUCCGGAUUGGAGUCUGCAACUCGACUUCAUGAAGUCGGAAUCGCUAGUAAUCGUAGAUCAGAAUGCUACGGUGAAUACGUUCCCGGGCCUUGUACACACCGCCCGUCACACCAUGGGAGUGGGUUGCAAAAGAAGUAGAUAGCUUAACCGUUCGGGAGGGCGUUUACCACUUUGUGAUUCAUGACUGGGGUGAAGUCGUAACAAGGUAGGCGUACGUGU
rnacentral:rRNA from 1 species